rnacentral:rRNA from 1 species
AACGAACGCUGGCGGCAGGCCUAACACAUGCAAGUCGAACGCCCUAGCAAUAGGGAGUGGCAGACGGGGUGAGUAACACGUGGGAACCUUCCCCUAUAGUACGGAAUAGCCCAGGGGAAACUUGGAGUAAUACCGUAUACGCCCGAGAGGGGGAAAGAUUUAUCGCUAUAGGAUGGGCCCGCGUAGGAUUAGCUAGUUGGUGAGGUAACGGCUCACCAAGGCGACGAUCCUUAGCUGGUCUGAGAGGACGACCAGCCACACUGGGGACUGAGACACGGCCCAGACUCCUACGGGAGGCAG